rnacentral:rRNA from 1 species
AGAGUUUGAUCCUGGCUCAGAUUGAACGCUGGCGGCAUGCCUUACACAUGCAAGUCGAACGGUAACAGGGAGCUUGCUCCGCUGACGAGUGGCGAACGGGUGAGUAAUAUAUCGGAACGUGCCUGGUAAUGGGGGACAACUAGUCGAAAGAUUAGCUAAUACCGCAUACGCCCUACGGGGGAAAGAGGGGGAUUCGCAAGAACCUCUCGUUAUCAGAGCGGCCGAUAUCUGAUUAGCUAGUUGGUGAGGUAAAGGCUCACCAAGGCUUCGAUCAGUAGCUGGUCUGAGAGGACGACCAGCCACACUGGGACUGAGACACGGCCCAGACUCCUACGGGAGGCAGCAGUGGGGAAUUUUGGACAAUGGGCGCAAGCCUGAUCCAGCAAUGCCGCGUGAGUGAAGAAGGCCUUCGGGUUGUAAAGCUCUUUUGUCAGGGAAGAAACGGUCUUGGUUAAUACCUGGGGCUAAUGACGGUACCUGAAGAAUAAGCACCGGCUAACUACGUGCCAGCA